CCUACGGGUGGCAGCAGUGGGGAAUAUUGCACAAUGGGGGAAACCCUGAUGCAGCGACGCCGCGUGAGUGAAGAAGUAAUUCGUUAUGUAAAGCUCUAUCAGCAGGGAAGAAAAUGACGGUACCUGAGUAAGAAGCCCCGGCUAACUACGUGCCAGCAGCCGCGGUAAUACGUAGGGGGCAAGCGUUAGCCGGAUUUACUGGGUGGAAAGGGAGCGUAGACGGCAGUGCAAGUCUGGAGUGAAAGGCGGGGGCUCAACCCCCGGACUGCUCUUGAAACUGUACGGCUGGAGUGCAGGAGAGGUAAGUGGAAUUCCUAGUGUAGCGGUGAAAUGCGUAGACAUUAGGAGGAACACCAGUGGCGAAGGCGGCUUACUGGACUGUAACUGACGUUGAGGCUCGAAAGCGUGGGGAGCAAACAGGAUUAGAUACCCCUGUAGUC
rnacentral:rRNA from 1 species